GAUGAACGCUGGCUACAGGCUUAACACAUGCAAGUCGAGGGGAAACGACGGGGAAGCUUGCUUCCCCGGGCGUCGACCGGCGCACGGGUGAGUAACGCGUAUCCAACCUGCCUCUGACUGAGGGAUAACCCGUCGAAAGUCGGCCUAAUACCUCAUGGCAUCGUCUGCGGGCAUCCAACGACGAUUAAAGAUUUCAUCGGUCAGGGAUGGGGAUGCGUCUGAUUAGCUUGUUGGCGGGGUAACGGCCCACCAAGGCUACGAUCAGUAGGGGUUCUGAGAGGAAGGUCCCCCACAUUUGGACUGAGACACGGUCCACACUCCUACGGGAGGCAGCAGUGAGGAAUAGUGGUCAAUGGGCGGGAGCCUGAACCAGCCAAGUAGCGUGCAGGAUGACGGCCCUAUGGGUUGUAAACUGCUUUUAUGCGGGGAUAAAGUGAGGGACGUGUCCUUCAUUGCAGGUACCGCAUGAAUAAGGACCGGCUAAUUCCGUG
rnacentral:rRNA from 1 species